ACGGCCCCGGCCUCGCCCCGAGGGUGACCAGGGAAGGCUCCCGGGCCACGGGAUUUUCACAAAGACAGACUCGCCUCCGUUUCUAGCGGCUUUAUUUUUGACAUACACGACCUCAGACACAAGCGGGGCGGGCAGCGCUAGGUGUACAGAAAGGAGCGGGCUCGGACCGAGCACCCCCUCCCCCGCACGCAAGGUCCAAAGCAAACGCAACUGCGGCGGGAGCCACCGGCGCAGGCCUCGGGCGGUGGAGACAGGCUUAGCUUCCAGGAAAGAGCAGCAGAGAGCGAUUCCCAGAACGCGAGGGCUUACAGUUCCCCGAGAAGCAAAAGAACCAGGUCCUUCCCAGGGUUCUCCAUUAUUUUUUCCUCAUUAAAAUAUAUUUUAAGUCAGCACAAACAUAACCAAAUUGUACAGCUUUAAAGUUCAAAGCAGUCUGCAUCUAGGGAACGUGCAUGUGGUCAGGAGUGAGCGCGUGAGCAGCGGCUACGUAACUAGCACAGGUGCCAGGCCCCUUGAUGGGAAUCCCCAUGCUCACUGCACAGGCCCAGAGAGGGAGGGGUGGGGUCCCUGGCAAGUUGCUACACUGGUCCCCUUCCUCUUUUAAGCACCACCCGUCCCACCCCACCCUCAGGGGCUGGUGUCAGCUUGGCCCAGGGAAGCACUAUAGAGAGGGCUCACCUGAGCACCCCAACCCAUGAUCCCAUGUUGCACUUUGUUCCCAAGUUGGGGCUAAGAAGGCUGGGCCUGGCAGGGACAGGGCUCUCUGGCAUGGGGCAGGGAGAAAGCAGUGGCAGACAGUAUGCACACACACUUGCCCACUACCAUUAAAUAACAGGGCUGGGUCUCCAGGUGUCCAAAGUGCUGAAAAGAGGGGCCCUGCUCUAAGGGAGCAGCAGCAAAUCCCAGGCCUUCCCACUCUUUGUAGUGCCAGGAAAAUACUGAAUGUAAGUGGGUGCAGCUUUGCUCGCUGUGAGGAGCAGCAGAAUGCGGCAGCCUCUCCUCCCAGAAUCGAGGAAUCUGGGAGGCACAGGACAUCCCCAAAAGGUCCCAAACAGUUCCAGACCCUAUGUCUUACCCUCCACCCUACCAGGGAAUGACUAUCUACACUAAUGAAGGGCUACUGCCCCCAUGGCUGAAGCCACAGAAUGGUACAGGAGAGAAGACUGUAAUUUGUGACCAGAAACAGGCAAGCUGUCCCUCCCAGCCCCAAAGAAUGGGAACCUGCCCACCAGUGGCACCAGGGCUGGGGGCUAGGAGAGAUGGCAUCCAUCAAGGAGCCCUUAAGAGGCUGCAU
rnacentral:lncRNA from 10 species